AUUUUCAUUGUGGGUUAGAUUUAUCAUUGUGGCAAUUUGUACAAAACAAAUGCAGAAGAAAAACAUUUGUAUACUUCAUUUGUUACAGGGAUUCCUGUUGUGGAAGUCAGAGUGGUACUUUGCCUGCACAUCUCUACUUCAUCCACACUGCUGGAAAUGCCUUUCUAAUAUGACUGAUCUAAGAAAGAGUCAUCUGGUUCUACACACGACUGAGGUGGAUAGGAAUCGAUCUCUAACACUAAACCAAAGAAUUCUGGACAGUAGUGUAAAUAUAGAUUUUUGGAUGAUACUGUGGAAGAAGUCAGUCAGAACGGUCCACAUGCAUGGUAUUUGAAGAGAGAACUGGGACUUGACUCUGGUCUCUUCAUCUUCCUGAUAUAUGGGGUGUACAACACAGAGGUAAGUCUGCUUGGAGUAUCUCAAGGCUGACAGAGUGAAUGAGAGAAAUGACAGGUUUCUUAUCUUGAUAACUGAGGGACAAAGUUGGCUUUCCAUAUGAGUGUCCUACUGCCCUUCAUGCUUGGACUAGCUUAUAUGCAUCCCAGCUUACCAUUAAACACAGACACCCUGAAUAAAGGGACAGACUCAUUUCUCAUAGGCAUUGACUAAUAUUUUACUGCUGCUUUAAGUUUUUUUUUAAUUCCUGGUCUGUCUUUUAACACUUAGCUAAACCUGACAGUCCUCAACUUCCAUAAUUUAAUUUGCGAUUGAAAACACGCUGUUAACUUAAAUGCUCUUUAAAGAAACUGUUUAAAAAAACUGUUUAAAAUAUAAAAGGAACUCAUUUUAUAUAUGUGCCCUCAAAAUUUUGAUGGGAGUAGAAAUUGCAUCCAAUUACAUCUUUACAUUAAUUAGAUACUUUUCAGAUGUCAGAAUCUGACCCAAGGCUUCUAACAGUUAGGUCUGUGGAAGUACUUCAUGUGUACAAGUUGAAUUCUGAUAAGGGAAUAUUUUAUUUUGCAUAAGAAUCAAAAGGAAUUUACCCAGCUUCUUUCACUGCUUCUAUUCUGUCUGCAUUACUGGUAGCAGGCUGCACUAAUAUAUACAAUUCUAAGGUGUUAAGCUAAGGUAGUCCUGCAGUUUAGAUGUUUAUAGAAUUUGGAAUUCCUUAAUAGAACUCUACGGAAAUAUGAAAGGCUUCCAAGGUCUAUGGUGAGAAAUGAAGCAGGAUUUUAUUCAGAUGUUAUUAGCACGUAACAGCCCACGAGAAAAACGCUGAUGUAGUGUUCUGGAUACUUUCACAGACACACACAGAAAGGCAUUUUGAGAGAUGGAAAUUAUUUCUGCUGUGAGGACAAAUUAUUUCUGUACAUGCAUGGAGUGCAUACUCUGCCCAUGAGCCUCUUUGUGUGUUUUUUCUCAUUGUGGGCCUGAGAAGGCAGCACCCGGGGCAGGAGAGCCUUCAGUGGUAGGGUCAUGGUGACUGCGUGUGUAAGAGGUGCCAGGGGCUGCAGCUGGGCAAUUUCACCUUAUUUUGUGGCUGCAGCUUGCUGCUGAGAGCGCUUCCGUUGACUCAGCGGAGCAUAGAUACGUAAGUCAUGGCCCGUAGUUGAGACGAAGGCAGCGGUACUGCAAGACUAACUUUAAUUGGGCGCUGCAGCCUUGGCGCUGCAGGAACGCGGCCCUGUCCAUGCAGUCAUUACCCACGCGCCAUGUAUGUCAGCGCUCUGCGUAUCCUCCGGGCACCCGAGGUUAAGCGCGGCACCAAGCGCCGCCUGCGGGCGCUAGGGCGGCGGGGGCUAGCUGCGGAGCG